rnacentral:tRNA from 1 species
GCGGACGUACCCAAGUGGUUGAAGGGGCGAGUUUGCUAAACUUGUAGUAGUCGUAAGGCUAGCGGAGGUUCAAAUCCUCUCGUCCGCGCCA